rnacentral:rRNA from 1 species
GACAGAGGGGGCAAGCGUUGCUCGGAAUCACUGGGCGUAAAGAGCGCGUAGGCGGGAUGGCAAGUCGGUCGUGAAAUCCCUCGGCUCAACCGAGGAGCGUCGGCCGAUACUGCUGUUCUUGAGGGAUGCAGAGGAGACUGGAAUUCCCGGUGUAGCGGUGAAAUGUGUAGAGAUCGGGAGGAACACCGGUGGCGAAGGCGGGUCUCUGGGCAUCUCCUGACGCUGAGGCGCGAAAGCGUGGGGAGCAAACGGGAUUAGAUACCCCGGUAGUCCACGCGGUAAACGAUGACGACUAGGUGUGGGGAGGUUCAGUCCUUUCCGUGCCGCAGCUAACGCAUUAAGUCGUCCGCCUGGGGAGUACGGCCGCAAGGUUGAAACUCAAAUGAAUUGACGG